CAGCCGCCACGGGAAAACGGAGGGAGCUAGCGUUGUUCGGAAUUACUGGGCAUAAAGCGCACGUAGGCGGCUUUGUAAGUCGGAGGUGAAAGCCUGGAGCUCAACUCCAGAACUGCCUUUGAGACUGCAUCGCUUGAAUCCAGGAGAGGUGAGUGGAAUUCCGAGUGUAGAGGUGAAAUUCGUAGAUAUUCGGAAGAACACCAGUGGCGAAGGCGGCUCACUGGUCCAUUACUGACGCUGAGGUGCGAAAGCGUGGGGAGCAAACAGGAUUAGAUACCCCGGUAGUCCCUGUCUCUUAUAC
rnacentral:rRNA from 1 species